rnacentral:rRNA from 1 species
GACGAACCGUGCGAACGUUGUUCGGAAUCACUGGGCUUAAAGGGCGCGUAGGCGGCUCGCCAAGUCCGGGGUGAAAGCCUCCAGCUCAACUGGAGAAGUGCCUUGGAUACUGGCGGGCUCGAGCGAGGUAGGGGCGGGUGGAACUUCCGGUGGAGCGGUGAAAUGCGUUGAGAUCGGAAAGAACACCAACGGCGAAAGCACUCUGCUGGGCCGACACUGACACUGAGAGACGAAAGCUAGGGGAGCAAAUGGG